UUUGUACAAUGCUUCAAUGCCAUUUGUAGAUGUGCAAGUUGUAGGGACAGGAGGAUCCAAUUGCUAUCCUUAAAGUUAAAGUGGAUCUGAGGGGUGUAGGGUAUAAAAUAGUGUGUGAACGCUUCUCCUCCUAUAUGGCUUAUCAGAGUUCAUGUCUAUCUUCCUGCCCAUGCUUUCUCCUCCAUACUAUUCAAUACAUUAAGGGGGAUGUUUCCUAUAUUUUACGAAUUAAUUGGUUGAUUGACAACAAACUUGGUACAGUUGUACAGCAUAUAUAAGGAGUAGAUGACCCCUAUUGAUUCUUAGGUCACAUGGUCAGUCCACUCUUGACAUAGGAAGGUAUUGUCUGCUCAAUAUUUUGAAUUGGUGUAACUACUAUCAAUUAAAUGAGGCACGGGUAUAACCCUUUCAAUUUUGCAACUUGGGGGGCAUAUGUGUUUUAGAAACAUCUCUUGUGUUGAAUUAUAUGAAUUACAGUUUUUAGUGUGCUCAGUUUAGAGAAUAGCAUAAAAGUAUUUGAUAAUUAAAUAUCUUGCAGAUUGGCAGUUUACUCCAUGCACCGACAGGAAUGAUAAACUGUGAUAUUCGUAAAUGGAACUGGGACACGUUCUAAAUAUACUCAGGGACAGAAUGAUGUGCAGCAAGGCUCGUCAUGGAUUUUACCAAAUACAGAACACUGCAAGGCUUGCAAAAUGAAGACCUCAAAUGGCAGCUCACUACCUGCCCCUUGUGAUGUUAAAAGAGGCCGUUGUUCUCAUUUGUUCCAAAACAGGAAUGGCAUAUGAGGAGGCCAACAGAAGAUGCACCUCCACUGACCUCCACGGAGUGUGCACUCACAAAACGAAUAAAUUAUUAUUUCUUUUGUUUGUAAUUGUAUAUUGUCAACAAGGUCAAAGGCACUUGAUCCGAUGCCAAACUUUUGCAUUUCUUUUGCUUUGUGGUAAAUUUUCUUCAGCAACAUUAACAUUGUUUAAAUUGUUUUCUUUGGAGAGUUUACAUGUACACAUGGAUCAUUUGUAUAUUAGAAUUAUAGCAUUGUUUAAUUCAACUCAUUCUUAUCAUAGAGGUUAUUAUAUACUGCAGGCAACGACUUGUAAAGGGUAUACUGUUUUAACUUACAUGCAAAGCAGUAUUAUGAAACUCUGUAGUUGAUAAGGACAUAUAUCACAUAUCGAUAUGCAUAUUUACAGGAAACUCUGAUGUAUUUUAAAUCUGAACGUUAAUUUAAAAGUGGGGAGAAAUAGCAUUGGAUGAAAAAAGACACAUAUGAAGAAAAUUAUUCCAUACGUAAAUACUUUUUAUCUCACCAGAGCUGAAAGCUCAAGUGAGCUUUUCUGAUCGCCUGUUGUUCAUUGUCUGUCCGUGAUUAAACAUUUUAUAUUUUCUCCAGAAGCACUGGGCCAAUAAUAACCAAACUUAGCCAAAAGUAUCCUUGGGUAAAGGGCUUUCGAGUUUGUUCAAAUGAAGGGCCAUGCCCUCUUCAAAGGGGAGAUGACCACAAAAAUAGGGUGGGUCGUUUAAUUUGUUUAUCAAGAACCAUUGGGCCAGAAGAGCUGAAAUGUACAUGAAAGCUUCCUGACAUAGUACAGAUCCAAGUUUAUUGAAAUCAUGGCCUCCAGGGGUUGUAUGGGGCCACAAUAGAGAAUCAAAGUUUUACAUACAAUUAUUCAGGAAAACUUUCAAUAUGAGCCAAGGUGGCUCAGGUGAGCGAUGUGGCCCAUGGGCCUCUUGUUCAACAUAUAGAAUAAAUAGUUAUGUUGUAUUUCCCAUGGAACAUUGAAACGUUUAAUGCGUUUACCAAUUAAUCACUGAAAGAAAGAUAAAAUUGUUGUUUCAUAUGUUUUAUGAAAACUUAAAGAUGUUUCAUUUCUUUUCAUGAAAGACCCCUUAAUUACCCAGUAAUAAAUAAUCAAUUCUUAACAGAUUAUGUAAAUUUGAUUUAUAUUAAGGAUGUUUGAUCUGAUUACCCAUCAUUAUCAAUCUGUCUAAUAUGGCCAUCAUGUGUUACUAUUAAUUGCUACGCAAUCUUGGAGCAUGAGGUAGAAUGCGAGCCAGCUCUUUCAUAAGUACAUGUAUCUGGAAAAUAUUUCAAUGUCAAAGGUUACAACAAUGUGAUAAUUUAAUCAUUGUAUGUCUAAGGUGUUGAUAAUAAAACUGUUAUCUGUUCAA